rnacentral:lncRNA from 1 species
CGUACAAAACAUGAGGUCGUAUUUAGUUAGUAUAUAUAUAUAUAUAUAUAUAUAUAUAUACAUACAUACACUCAAAAAAAUUGAUUUGUGGCACUGUUCGUUUUACACAUAUAUGUUUUGUUAAAACAACACAAAUAUAUUUAGUUUUCCGCCAAAACACAAUUGUAUUGUGCUUAAUCAACUUAAACUGUUUCAUUUUCAAUUUUACUUUAUUAUCAAUCGUUAAACUAACGUAAAGUGUUUAAUUUCGUAAUUCAAAAAAACCCGGAAGUGACGAUUUCCAACGCAUUUGAUGAUGGCGCGAAGGAGAGCAAGAGGUACCAGUCAUGUAAGAAAAUCUAAAGUUUUUCUUGUGUUAAGUCAAAGUCUUUAAUUUCUCUUAGAGUUCCUGUUUUGGGGUGCUUUUGUUUUGCAGUCUUGUAUUGUGUAAUCGGUUUACUGCACCGUUAAUAGAUGAUUUUGAGCGGUUGGGAGAUGUGAAAGCGCAGGACUCUCUCUAAUGUAUUUCAUUUAGUAUAUAUAUGCACUAGGGCUGAAACAAUUACUCGAUAUUAUCGACAAUGUCGACGAUAAAAAAAAAAAAAAAAAAAAAAAUAUAUAUAUAUAUAUAUAUAUAUAUAUAUAUAUAUAUAUAUAUAUAUAUAUAUAUGCAAAAAAAAGCCGGUAAAUGUUUUUGAGUAACGUUAAUGGUUUGAUCUCGUAUGCCUAAUGCAAAAGCCUCCAAUAAUGCAGUUCGACCAGUGUGGCGCUGUAGCGCAAGAUUGUAAUACACUCUCCUGAUUCAAUUCAAAAGAAGAAGAUAGCACUUCAGUUUGAGCAAACCGAGCCGAUCCGAACCUUGGAUGAAUAUAUUUGUGCCGAAUUUGAGACAUCCAGAAUUACCAUAGGCCCAUCAGAAUCAACAAUCUUUGCCAAACUUGAUCUGCACUACAAAACUUAUGAAGAUGUUUGCAUACUGAAGAAGAGUCCUUGGACAAAUACUGAAACCCUCUUGGUGCCCACUACACAGGUAAGAACAACUGCACUCAACACAACCUUGUAUUAAAACGUUAUUCUCUCACUGGACACUGGAAAUUGACAAAAGACAGAUCGAAUAAGAUUAGGUUUAUUAAUACAAUAAAUACAAAAUAUGUGGUACUAGAGACAUUUAUUUUGGAGUCCGUAUUACCAUUUUCAGAGAGUUCCAGUACUGGGAGUGAGGUAUUGAUAAAAGGAAUUGGUUUACAAGUUU